ACGAACGCUGGCGGCGUGCCUAACACAUGCAAGUCGAACGGGGAUAGAUAGCUUGCUAUUUAUUCUAGUGGCGCACGGGUGAGUAACGCGUUGGUGACCUGCCCCGAAGAGGGGGAUAACAGUUCGAAAGGACUGCUAAUACCCCAUAGGGUCAAAGAGAUUAGAAGCUCAUUGACCAAAGGAGAAAUUCGCUUCGGGAGGGGCCUGCGUCCCAUCAGCUAGUUGGUAAGGUAACGGCUUACCAAGGCGACGACGGGUAGGGGACCUGAGAGGGUGGCCCCCCACAAUGGAACUGAAACACGGUCCAUACACCUACGGGUGGCAGCAGUAGGGAAUAUUAGUUAAUGUGCGAAAGCGCGAACUAGCAACGCCGCGUGUGCGAUGAAGGCCUUCGGGUCGUAAAGCACUUUUCGAGAAGAUGAGGAAGGACAGUACUCUCGGAAUAAGUCUCGGCUAACUACGU
rnacentral:rRNA from 1 species